AGUUUGGUCUCCCAACUAACACUCCAGGGAUCAGGCUUCUCUAUUAGGGGUCCUAGUCAACAGGAGAGUUGCAUUUUUAAUAAUUACUAGGAGCCAUGAAGAACUAAUCCAUUGUUUCAGUUUGUACUAUUGCCUAGUUAAUUAUUUAGAAAUGAUUUAUUAAAAACAAGAAGUGAGGAAACCAUCAUGCUAAGCAGGCAAUUCUGGACAAGAGACUUCUUUCAAGCAAACUGAACAUUGAUUAAGCUCAAAAAGCCUCAUCUUCAAGAUUAUGUGGGAUUUUAUUAACUGAUUUUUCUAAGCCUCUGGCUUCUUUCUUCCUCACUGAAAAAAUGUCAAUGUCAGAAGCAAAGUUUGACUCUGUGAUGGCAAUGAUUGUUCCUGCUCGCAGCUGAAGAGGAUGAGAGGAAACCCAGAUUGGAAGUAUUUAUUCCCAAGGCUUUACUAUAAGGAAACAAGUAAUUUUAUCAGAAACAAGUAAUCCAUAAUUUGCUGUACCUCAACUGCAGUGGUAUGCUCAACUAGUAGAGUUCACAUAGAAAUACUUGGAUCUGUUUGCAGGAGAUUGCUUCUACCAGACUGGGCAAGGUGUGGUCUCAGAGUGCAUUAUCAUUUAAACAAAGGAUGCUAUGAAUCACAGAUGACAGAACCAGAAAAACGCUUGCUCUAGUGUACAAAGUUUGGCUGAUACUUAACCUUUGCUAGGGGAAAAGGAAAAAAUUGCAGGCUGCUACACCGGCAGCCUAGAACACCUUUUUAACUACAUUCAAGCCUUUUACUGUUACAGAACAUUAUUACUGUUAAUACUGCCAUGUGUGACUGAGAAUUUGUACCACUGACUUACUGAAAAAGCAUCUUCUACUUAACAAAUUCAAAUAAAUUUAAUUCUAUGUACUAGCAGAAGUAAUUAAAAGCAAAUGAAUAAGGA